rnacentral:hammerhead_ribozyme from 1 species
GUGCUGGUGAAGAGUCCCAAACUAGGACGAAACAGCUGUCCAGUAA